AUGCUACUCCCUCCGUUCGGAAUUACUUGUCGCAGAAAUGGGUGUAUCUAGAUGUAUUUUAGUUCUAGAUACAUCCAUUUUCGAGACAAGUAAUUUCGAACGGAGGGAGUACGUG
rnacentral:pre_miRNA from 1 species